rnacentral:tRNA from 1 species
GCAGGGGUACCCGAGUGGUCAAAGGGGCCGGACUUAAGCUCCGGUGCAUAGUGCUUCGCAGGUUCAAAUCC